rnacentral:rRNA from 1 species
UACGUAGGGUGCGAGCGUUGUCCGGAAUUACUGGGCGUAAAGAGCUCGUAGGUGGUUUGUCGCGUUGUUCGUGAAAACCGGGGGCUUAACCCUCGGCGUGCGGGCGAUACGGGCAGACUUGAGUACUGCAGGGGAGACUGGAAUUCCUGGUGUAGCGGUGGAAUGCGUAGAUAUCUGGAGGAAUACCGGUGGCGAAGGCGGCAUCCUGGACCAUUACUGACGCUGAGGCGCGAAAGCGUGGGGAGCAAACAGG